rnacentral:sRNA from 14 species
CAACCAUUAGCAUUUAUUCUUUCCUCAUGAUGACUUGACUGAAUAGCCGUCUAACAUAUUCUCGAGAGCUCUCCAGAAAUCCUAAAAAUCAAUGGAAUUUGGAGAGUUUCUCUCCUGUUGAUUUUCCUGAUCAUUCUCCCUAUUAUAUUUUUACUAUUUUCUAUAAAUCCUUUGAAUAGAAGGAUUUCCUAAUAUUAAUUGUUUCUGAGUCUUUAUUCUAAAAAAGAGACUAUUUCCACAGAGCUACUCCGGCGAGCUGUUGUCGACAAUCACCGAUCGUUUGAAACUUUAAAAGAAAAACGAGGCUGACAACGGAGAUGUUCCUCAGGCAGUUAAAGCAGCGUCGGCAGCCCAUUUCUUCUAUCGUGGGCAAUGUUCGAGACGCAAAUAUUGUUUCUGCGAGCUUUGCUCUAGCGCUUUUUAGAGAAAUCUAAUCUUUGCGUACAUGUUAACAAAACGCAUGGAUUUCCGAAGAUCCAUUUGAAGAAUUAAAUUGCCCGAUUGAAGACGUCAGGUCCGGAACUCGAUGAGUGUCAAUUUCUGAAGGACGUUUUUGUAGCUUAUCGUUCGAUCCAAAAAUCAUCUUCUGCACCACGUCGUCGUGAAAUUGUGCUUUACAGUUGAAUCAAAAAUCUUCAGAAGUCGAAAAACGAGACAUAAAGCCAGAUGUCCAACGAUCAAUCAAACUGAAGCCAAUUGCCGAGCAGGAUGCAGAUGAGGUCAUAACUGUGGAGACCACAAUUGAGGUGAAAAAAUUUGCCAAAGCACUCCGAGAUAAGGCUCAUCUCCUCUUCCGAAACGCUUGAAACAACUCGAGUGGUGAAUGGAAAAGCCAAAUUUUCUUCCGAAUUCUGUACAAAAGAUUUCACAAAAAAUCUUACUUGAACAAACACCGAAAAAAGAAUCACAAUGCUCCAGAAGUUUUUAAAAUGAAAGAAGCAAUCCGUUAGUUUUAAACAGUAUCAAAACACAGAAAUCGACUAAAUUACAAAUAAAUGCGGAACUUGCCAGAAAAAUCACUGCUCGACAUCCAGCUUAAAGAAAAAUUUGAAAGAGAAACACACAAAUAAUCCGAGACAAUUUCCGGACAACUCCCAAAUCCCACAGGCGCCAAGUUGAGCAAAAUAGAGACGCUCAAAUUGGCCAACGCGUAUUUAAAUUCGUUGAAAAUGAUGUUGAAUGAGAAGGAGGACACUAAGUUCCAGCCAAUGGUCACUGGACACAAAAAAAAUCAAAAUGGAGCCGACGGAGCCCAAAAGGAUAAAGCAGGAAAACGUCAAAAGUAUCGAAAUGGAGAUUUUGGAAUACCAAGAGCGGGCAGAAGUCGUAGAAUAUGGAAAUAG